rnacentral:RNase_P_RNA from 1 species
GUCGUAAGCCAUCUUAUCGCUCGGCUAUUGUGUUAGUUGAGAGGAAAGUCCGGGCAACACAGAGCAUCGUACUUCCUAACAGGAAGGUCCUGUUGUUUUAAUAACUACAGGAACAGACAGUGCCACAGAAAAUAAACUACCUCAGUGUUGGUUCGCAGCAUAGAGGAAAAGGUGAAAAGGUGGGGUAAGAGCUCACCGCUCUGAUGGUGACAUCGGGGGCAUGGUAAACCUUACGAGUUGAAAGACCAAAUAAGUCGCGCAUUUAAAAGGCUGCUCGUCUGAACUUUCUAAAAGUAGCGCGAUGGGUAGGUUGAUUGAUCCUUAUGGUAACAUAAGGACCAGAUAAAUGAUAAGAACAUUGAUAAACAUCAGUGUACAGGACCCGGCUUAUCGGCUUACUUUUUUU